rnacentral:lncRNA from 1 species
GCCGCCACUGCAACUCACGCCGCCACUGCAACUCUCCACCGCUGCAUUCCAGGUACCGCUGCUACCUUCGACUUUAUAUAUUGAUUUUGCGUCUCUGUUUGCUUUGCUUUGAUUAAAUUGAGUGUUUGCUUUGCUUUCUCUGUGUAUUUGCUUCUCGUGCCACCAUUGUUGUUGUUUUUUUCGAAUUUGCUUUGGUUUUGGGUUUCUGUUUUGAUGUUUGUUGCUUUACAAACUAAAGAGUAAAAUAUGUUUUGAUGUUAUGGCUUGUUCAUUAAGAUUUUGUGUGGUUUUUCCAUAAAACUUUUUGUAAUAUAGAUAUAUAUAGUAGUAAUCCUAUACAUAUUCGAAGUGACAAAAAUG